CCUACGGGAGGCUGCAGUGGGGAAUAUUGCGCAAUGGGCGAAAGCCUGACGCAGCGACGCCGCGUGAGGGAUGAAGGUCUUCGGAUCGUAAACCUCUGUCAGCAGGGAAGAACGGUCACUGUGCUAAUCAGCAGCGAAUUGACGGUACCUGCAAAGGAAGCACCGGCUAACUCCGUGCCAGCAGCCGCGGUAAUACGGAGGGUGCGAGCGUUAACCGGAAUUAUUGGGCGUAAAGCGCUCGUAGGCGGGAUUGCAAGUCAAGGGUGAAAGCCCCGAGCUCAACGUGGGAACUGCCUUGGAAACUGGCAAACGUGAGUGUGUGAGAGGAUAGUGGAAUUCCAGGUGUAGGAGUGAAAUCCGUAGAUAUCUGGAGGAACACCAGUGGCGAAGGCGACUAUCUGGCACAUAACUGACGCUGAGGAGCGAAAGCGUGGGUAGCAAACAGGAUUAGAUACCCCAGUAGUC
rnacentral:rRNA from 1 species